rnacentral:rRNA from 1 species
CUGCUGCCUUCCGUAGGAGUUUGGGCCGUGUCUCAGUCCCAAUGUGGCCGUUCACCCUCUCAGGCCGGCUACUGAUCGUCGCCUUGGUGGGCCUUUACCCCGCCAACAAGCUAAUCAGACGCGGAUCCAUCGUAUACCACCGGAGUUUUUCACACUGCUUCAUGCGAAGCUGUGCGCUUAUGCGGUAUUAGCACCUAUUUCUAAGUGUUAUCCCCAGUAUACGGCAGGUUCUCCACGCGUUACUCACCGUCG